GGGGAAUAUUGCACAAUGGGCGAAAGCCUGAUGCAGCAACGCCGCGUGAGUGAUGAAGGUCUUCGGAUUGUAAAGCUCUGUCUUCUGGGACGAUAAUGACGGUACCAGAAGAGGAAGCCACGGCUAACUACGUGCCAGCAGCCGCGGUAAUACGUAGGUGGCGAGCGUUGUCCGGAAUUACUGGGCGUAAAGGGUGCGUAGGCGGAUGUUUAAGUGAUAUGUGAAAUACCCGGGCUUAACCUGGGAGCUGCAUUUCAAACUGGAUAUCUGGAGUGCAGGAGAGGAGAACGGAAUUCCUAGUGUAGCGGUGAAAUGCGUAGAGAUUAGGAAGAACAACAGUGGCGAGGGCGGUUCUCUGGACUGUAACUGACGCUGAGGCACGAAAGCGUGGGUAGCAAAC
rnacentral:rRNA from 1 species